GAUUACAUCCAGUUGUGAUUCAUAAGUUGUGAAUUCAAUUUACUUAUCCGUUCAUAUAAAAACUGAUUUGUGUAUGUUGGUUGAGAGUGCACGCUUAAUUUUCAUGCAUGAAUUUGACGCUAGAAUAUAAGGGAGUUUCACCUAAUUGUUAUGAACUUAUAUUCACAAGUAGUGAAGGUUGCUAGUCACAAUCACGUUAAGUAAAUUCUUGGCAUAAGUUUCAUGCAAAUCAUAGUAACGAGUGCCUCGUCAAUGCUUAUGUUUUUCAUAAAACUUAAUGAUUCUUGCUUGUAUCUCUAUUAUGCAAUUCAUGUAGGGAACUUGUAGGGAAUGUUUUGGGUUGUCGUAUGCAAUCAUCCAACCCAAUAACUUGUGGAAAAACUGAGGGUUAAUUAGUGCAAUUCACGGUUAAUUUGGGCCGUUGAGUAUUCAUAGUUUAUCGAAAAGCAACUGAAAAUCGUUUUGUAUGCAAGUGUGACAUGUGUGGAGAAGAACCUCCUAGCUAGCCUUCCAUCCAUAAGUUUCAUUCAAAUUCAUUUACAAUCUGUUUUGUUUUACAAGUUUGUUUUGUUUUCAAAUUCGUCAAGAACCAAUCUCCCAUUUAUUUCAAAGUGUUAGAUUAGUUAGUAAUCACUUUAGUUUGUGUUUUUAAGUGUCUUGAGUCAAGUCAUAACCCAAUUUCGUCCAAUUUAGUGUUAGGUGUUCAAAACUGCCCAGAAAGUGUUUUUAAGGCAGUUUUGAGUGUUUAUUUGCUGUUUUGAAUCUUUUUGUUUAUCUUAGUAUUUUAAAGUAUAGUUUUGCAUUCUUUGAGUGUAGUUUAGUGUUGUAAACUUUGUUUUUACGUUUUCAAGUCAGUUUCCAAGUGAUUUAGCAAUCCCUCCUAAUCCCGGGCCUAGAACGAUCCCUACUUACAUACUUUACUACAUUUGAUAAAAAGAGGGUUUAAUUUGUGUGUUAAGUUAAUUUUCGCAUCAAUAUCGCGUCAAAACGGUAGAUUAAAUAAACACUUAUGAGUUAAUAUUAUACUUCCAUUAACUAGUGUAAAUAUUUUAAAUUGAAGAUCAAAUUUAUUCAUUGCAUUCUUAUAGGGUUGAGGAGUAUAGCUGCAAAAAAUCAUUAAAAUCAAAGCUAAAAUAACUGUUAAAUUAUAAUUUUUCAUUUAUAACCGUCGAAAAAAAUCAUUUAUAUAUGUUAAAUCAGAGCUAAAAUCUUUGAAUGUUUGUUUUUUACAAUUUUUUACGUAUGCAAUCUCGGAGUGUGUACAAAUAAGUUUUAUGGUUGGAUCGUUGAAAAAAGUUUCGUAGAAUGCAUAUCGCAUCAAAACGGUAGAUUAAACAAACACUUAGAGUUAAUAUUAUACUUCCAUCAAGUAUAAAGUAAGAUUAGUGUAAAUAUUUUAAAUUGAAGAUCAAAUUUAUUCAUUGCAUUCUUAUAGGAUCGAGGAGUGUAGCUGUAAAAAAUCAUUGAAAUCGGAGCUAAGAUAACCGUUAAAUUGUGAUUUUUCGUUUAUAACCGUUGAAAACUUUUGUUCUGUUACGUAAUCUCUGAAUGUUUAUUUUUACAAUUUUUUUACGUAUGCAAUCUUGGAGUGUGUACAAAUAAGUUUGACGAUUGGAUCGUUGAAAAAAGUUUUGUAGAAUUCUUGGAUGCACUUGCUACCCAAGUUGGAGCA
rnacentral:lncRNA from 1 species